UUGCGUGGCGGCGUGCUAUAAUGCAGUCGUACGCUUCUUUUUCCACCGGAGCUUGCUCCACCGGAAAAAGAGGAGUGGCGAACGGGUGAGUAACACGUGGGUAACCUGCCCAUCAGAAGGGGAUAACACUUGGAAACAGGUGCUAAUACCGUAUAACAAUCGAAACCGCAUGGUUUUGAUUUGAAAGGCGCUUUCGGGUGUCGCUGAUGGAUGGACCCGCGGUGCAUUAGCUAGUUGGUGAGGUAACGGCUCACCAAGGCCACGAUGCAUAGCCGACCUGAGAGGGUGAUCGGCCACAUUGGGACUGAGACACGGCCCAAACUCCUACGGGAGGCAGCAGUAGGGAAUCUUCGGCAAUGGACGAAAGUCUGACCGAGCAACGCCGCGUGAGUGAAGAAGGUUUUCGGAUCGUAAAACUCUGUUGUUAGAGAAGAACAAGGAUGAGAGUAACUGUUCAUCCCUUGACGGUAUCUAACCAGAAAGCCACGGCUAACUACGUGCCAGCAGCCGCGGUAAUACGUAGGGGGCAAGCGUAAGA
rnacentral:rRNA from 1 species